rnacentral:rRNA from 1 species
GUCGAACGCGAAAGGGGAGCAAUCCCUGAGUAGAGUGGCAAACGGGUGAGUAACACGUGGGUGACCUGCCUUCGAGUGGGGGAUAACGUUCCGAAAGGAACGCUAAUACCGCAUGACAUCCUGCCUUUGGAAAGGCGGAGAUCAAAGCUGGGGAUCGCAAGACCUGGCGCUUGAAGAGGGGCCCGCGCCUGAUUAGCUAGUUGGUGGGGUAAUGGCUCACCAAGGCUACGAUCAGUAUCCGGCCUGAGAGGGCGGACGGACACACUGGGACUGAGACACGGCCCAGACUCCUACGGGAGGCAGCAGUGGGGAAUUUUUCGCAAUGGGGGAAACCCUGACGAAGCAACGCCGCGUGGAGGAUGAAGGCCUUCGGGUCGUAAACUCCUGUCGACCGGGACGAACGUAGAGAGGGCUAAUACCCAUUUCUAUCGACUGUACCGGUGGAGGAAGCCACGGCUAACUCUGUGCCAGCAGCCGCGGUAAUACAGAGGUGGCAAGCGUUGUUCGGAAUUACUGGGCGUAAAGGGCGCGUAGGCGGCCUUGUAAGUCCUGUGUGAAAUCCCCCGGCUCAACUGGGGAACUGCACAGGAGACUGCUUGGCUUGAGUUCGGGAGAGGGAAGCGGAAUUCCGGGGUGUAGCGGUGAAAUGCGUAGAUAUCCGGAGGAACACGGGUGGCGAAGGCGGCUUCCUGGACCGACACUGACGCUG